rnacentral:ncRNA from 1 species
GUCAGCAUAUAAGGAAACUUGUAUGUAGUGGCAGUUAACACUGUCCAAUACUACUCGAAUUGCUGGAAACCCCUAAAGCUUAUCCAACCCUAACAUAUAGGUGUUAAGGUUACGAAAGUAAAAACAAUGGAUAAGAUAACUCAAGGUUAAAUCCUAAAAGUGAUGUUUUAUAAACAAAAUAUGUUUAUAAAUAAAAAAAUGGGCAAUCAGCAGCCAAGACCGAAAGGUAAGGUUCAACGACUAUUCCUCUUAAGGGAAGUACACUACAAGCUAUUGGUAGUGGAAGUGGGUAGCCCCUAACACAUAACGGUGAGGGAGAAGAUAUAGUCUGUGCUUUAGUGAAAACUAAAG